rnacentral:rRNA from 1 species
AACCCUUGUCCUUAGUUACCAGCACGGUUAUGGUGGGCACUCUAAGGAGACUGGCUGGUGCAAACCGGAGGAAGUGGGGAUGACGUCAAGUCAUCAUGGCCCUUACGGCCUGGGCUACACACGUGCUACAAUGGUCGGUACAAAGGGUUGCCAAGCCGCGAGGUGGAGCUAAUCCCAUAAAACCGAUCGUAGUCCGGAUCGCAGUCUGCAACUCGACUGCGUGAAGUCGGAAUCGCUAGUAAUCGUGAAUCAGAAUGUCACGGUGAAUACGUUCCCGGGCCUU